UUCGUAUAACGUCUGUAGUAAUCAAUCAUCUGCUACAUUAAAAAAAAAAAGCAUUUACGUCGUUUUCACCACACCUUCCACUUUCUCGCAUUAAAUUGGCUUCAUCUUUUUCCGAAGUAAACUAUUGAAGCUCCGCCUAUAUAUGAACACAAGCGUUUUGGUUCGAACCAGUAUCUCCACCCACGACUUUGGUAUUGGGAUCACCAGAGCGCCUCACCUCUUCCUCGCUUUCUAUCCAUUAGAAGGACUUUCCAACUAUCACUCCGCGGCCGAGUUAUUGUAGUGUAUGUAAGUUGGGCUCCUUCGAUUCUGGGAAAGCUUGGAAUGUGAAGAAAAGUGGAGAGCUAAUGGGAGUUGAUCUGAUAAUGGUUGAUGGAAAGGAGCAAGCAAAGCUUCAUAUUUGCGGACGCCCCUGUUUUGCUCCUAUUCGAAGAGGUCCCUGAGAGCAGAAACUUCAUCCCCAAGGUUACGAGGAGUUGAUGUCAUUAGCUAAUACCAAUUCCGAGUUGCCUGAUAUUUUGGUAAGUUCAUGGAUUUUACUUCCACUUUCAAUGAAAAAACACAAAAUACUCAGCGAAUUAUGGCCAACCUCCGCUUUCAGGGGGAGGUGAUAACAACCCUGGCCAUGAUAUUCCAGGAGCUGGAGCUGUAACAAUAGACCCUUCUCAAAGUGUUGAAAGAGGUAUUCAUGACAACAGCAACAGACCCAGUAACCAUGUGAUGUUGGAAAGCCUCUCAGGAACUGUUACUGAACCAAGUGACAUCCCUAUUUCAUCUGACAUGUCUUCUGCCGAGUCAGCCCAGGCAGUGUGUGCGCUCUCUGCGAAGAAGCCACACCAUAGUUAAGCUUCAGAUUAUUGGAGUAGAUACAAGGUCGCUCAAUCUCACAACUGCUUUCUUAACCAGUUUUUAAAUUCUUUCAUAAACCGAAUAAGUAUCACUUUGAGCUAUUUUCCUCAGUGUUUUAACUUAUACAUGUAUUUCCUCUUCUCUAUGAAUUCUGCAUCUUUCUUUUUAAACAAUUUUGAACCGUAGAACUGGUUACAUAGACCAAUAUAUUGUUACUCCUACAAGCUGUUUCAUUUUCAUUUUCUGAAAAAAUAUA